AACAAAAUGGCGACCAGGAAGUGAAUUGUAGAAAUGAUAACGACGAUGUUAGCUGUUUGUAAGCAAAAUGUGAUAUGUCAUGGGAUACCUUAUCAGCCCGUGGAUACAUAAGGUUGGCAUAGACGCCUUAACUCCAAGUGUGGUGAACAGGAGCUGACCCUGUACAGAUUGAUCUCCGCCCUUCACCGCAAAGCAAAGCUGCUACCUACCCAGGCCAGACCCGUGAAGAUUCCGGGGUAGAAUAGGUCUUCAGCAACCCAUGCUUGCUGUAAAAGCAACAAUGGGCGGCUUGCUCGGCUCCUCAAGGCAGACGGUCAGUGUGCACCUCAAGAGGUUCUGCCAGCUUGCCAGAGUGAACGAUCACACUGGGAUUGGAAAAGCCAUCUGGAAUUUGAUCACAGGAAACAUGGUGAAGGAGAAAGCUUUACCGGGGUGGAAAUGUUGCCAGCAUAUGCUAGGAUGCACAAAGAAAGAAUUCAUUCUGCUCUUGGUUGUUCACCAUACAAGGCCAUGCUGGGCUGCCCUCCAGUACACUUCAAGAAUUUGUUGAGAGCUGGGAAUACAGUUGAUGCAAGCUCUUGCUCUGAAGAAGAUGGGCCGUGCGAACUAUCUGCAGGGAGUGAUGAGGAAAGGGAGAACAACAGGCUCAAAACAAGAGGAGAGACAAUACAGAAACAAAAGGACACAAGAAGACUCCAACUAUGAAAGAACUGGAGAUGGAGGCCUCAUUCUAUGACCUUGAGAUUGUGGACAAUGAAGGGGCUGGUAACUGCAUGUUUAUUGCAUUGGCUCAACAGCUUCAACAACAUGACAUUGACAUAAUCUGCCAUAAACAUCUGCGAGAAAAGGAUGUGCAAUAUGUGCAGAGCUGCCAUAGAUUACCGGAUGUAUGUUGGGGUUGAGGAAGCAAUAAUUCUCAUUCUGAUGGAUGUGCUGAAUAAAACCUACGCAGAAGUCAAUCGCGGGUGUAAAUCAACAGAAGUUGAUGCCAGUCAAGGGGUGUCCACAUCACUGUGGAUGACGAAUAAUGACGGUUUGGUUCACACAGGGAGGAUUAAAAUGCCUCUGUUAUACAGGAUGACUGACUUGCUGGAUGUGUUGUGAUGAUUGUGCUUGCACACUGAUGUCAACAACCACCUCUUUACAAGAGGUAAAAAGAUUAAAGUAAUUUGAUGUAUAUGAA